rnacentral:tRNA from 1 species
GGGAAUGUGGCUUAGUGGUAGAGUGCUUGCCUAGCAUGCAUGAAGCCCUGGGUUCGAUUCUUCAAUACCA